UUUCUGAUGCAACUUAGGGUUUUUCUUUUUCUUUUGAUUGAGAAAGGCAUAAGACUAUUUUCUUUUGAUUGAGAAACACAGCUAGCCCUUUCGUUUUUAUUUAAGUUUAUUUUUAUAGUUUUAUAGUUUUAUUGUUUUAAUGUUGUAAUGUUUUAAUUUUAUUUAGGUUUAUUUAUUAAUUUAGUUGUAAUUUUAUUUUAUUAGAUUUGUUUUUAUUUUAUUAAUUAGAUUUUCAUUUAGUUUUGGUUUUA
rnacentral:lncRNA from 1 species